rnacentral:rRNA from 1 species
GUCUAUAUGUAGUUAAUAUAAAGUCUGGCCUGCCCACUGAAUGUUUAAAUGGCCGCGGUAAUUUGACCGUGCGAAGGUAGCAUAAUCAAUAGUCUUUUAAUUGGGGGCUGGAAUGAAUGGUCGUACAAGAAGUAGUCUGUCUUUUUUAUAAUAAUUGAAUUUAACUUUUAAGUGAGAAGGCUUAAAUUUCUUAGGGGGACGAUAAGACCCUAUAAAACUUUACAUGGGUUAGAUGAUUUUUAAAUUUAAGUUUAAUAAGAAUUAUUUUAAUCUUGUUACGUUGGGGCGACGAAAAUAUAAAUGUAACUGUUUAUUAAUUAAAAUAAAAUUAUUUAGUAUAAGUUGGUCCUUUAUUAUGGAUUAUAAGAAUAAGUUACUUUAGGGAUAACAGCGUAAUUUUUUCUGAGAGUUCUUAUCGAUGAAAGUAGUUGCGACCUCGAUGUUGAAUUAAAGUUUCAUCAAGGUGUAGAAGCUUUGACUGUAGGUCUGUUCGACCUUUAAAACUUUACAUGAUUUGAGUUCAAACCGGUGUGAG